UACGGGAGGCAGCAGUGGGGAAUAUUGGACAAUGGGCGCAAGCCUGAUCCAGCCAUACCGCGUGGGUGAAGUAGGCCUUCGGGUUGUAAAGCCCUUUUGUUGGGAAAGAAAUCCUGUCGAUUAAUACUCGGUGGGGAUGACGGUACCCAAAGAAUAAGCACCGGCUAACUUCGUGCCAGCAGCCGCGGUAAUACGAAGGGUGCAAGCGUUACUCGGAAUUACUGGGCGUAAAGCGUGCGUAGGUGGUGGUUUAAGUCUGCUGUGAAAGCCCUGGGCUCAACCUGGGAAUUGCAGUGGAUACUGGAUUACUAGAGUGUGGUAGAGGGAUGCGGAAUUUCUGGUGUAGCAGUGAAAUGCGUAGAGAUCAGAAGGAACAUCCGUGGCGAAGGCGGCAUCCUGGGCCAACACUGACACUGAGGCACGAAAGCGUGGGGAGCAAACAGGAUUAGAUACCCUGGUAGUCCACGCCCUAAACGAUGCGAACUGGAUGUUGGGUGCAACUUGGCACCCAGUAUCGAAGCUAACGCGUUAAGUUCGCCGCCUGGGGAGUACGGUCGCAAGA
rnacentral:rRNA from 1 species